UGCUUUGGUCAAGGUGUUUGACACAGUAAU
rnacentral:piRNA from 1 species